rnacentral:rRNA from 1 species
GUCAAAUCAUCAUGCCCCUUAUGCUUAGGGCUACACACGUGCUACAAUGGGUAGUACAGAGGGUUGCCAAGCCGUAAGGUGGAGCUAAUCCCUUAAAGCUACUCUCAGUUCGGAUUGUAGGCUGAAACUCGCCUACAUGAAGCUGGAGUUACUAGUAAUCGCAGAUCAGAAUGCUGCGGUGAAUGCGUUCCCGGGUCUUGUACACACCGCCCGUCACACCACGGGAGUUGGAGACGCCCGAAGCCGAUUAUCUAACCUUUUGGAAGAAGUCGUCGAAGGGGGAAUCAAUAACUGGGGUGAAGUCGUAACAAGGUAGCCGUAUCGGAAGGGGCGGCUGGAUCACCUCCUUUCUAAGGAGA